GGAGAAAUUCACCUCUGACAUGCCAACAGUCCCCUGCUGUUCCCAGGGCACCAGUAUCCUAGGCACUAACUGCUAAGGGAUUCAAUUAGUGGCACCCCUCGUGCCAACACUGCUCUGCUGCCAGGAAUGAUGCCCACGUCUGGCAUGUAAAGCACCUGGAAUGCUUGCAGGCUCCAAGAAUCAGGCUGGCUUUUCUUAUACUACAGUGAUAUUACUAGCUACUCAGACAGAAAGAACCUAAGACACAAAAAGGUCUAAGGAAAGAACUGAUCUUGCAAGCUAGAGCCCUCUAUGCAGUGUGCUUUUUAUAAGCAAGACAAUAAUUAACAGACAUCGACACACAGUGUUCACUGGUGCUUCAACUACUGCCCUUUGAAACAAGAUAUUCACACCUCAGAGCUGGUUUUGGAGCUGUCUACUGAUUCUGACACAUCAUUACACCAGUUAUGCUUGACCCAUUGUUAAUCUUUGCUGCAUUGCAGUCACAACAACCAGAACUUUUGAAUUAAAGCUAACAUUCCAACAAGUACCAUGUGCUAUUUCAUUCCAUAAGAGUGCUUUGCAUCAAUAUCUUGAGCUAGGAUUUACACUUCACUUUAUUUUCCUACUAAUCUGUA